GCCCGGUUAGCUCAAUCGGUAGAGCGUGAGACUCUUAAUCUCAAGGUUGCGGGUGAGUGGUUCUGGAAAAAAGAAAAGAGAAAUUAGUGAAAAAUUUACUAACCCUCGAACUAGGUUCGACCCCCGCAUUGGGCU